rnacentral:rRNA from 1 species
GGAAUCCUCAGUGCUCAAGCAAAGCUUGGGCUUUUGCUAUGUGUAAAUAACAUGGCGAAUAAGUGGUGGGUAAGACUGGUGCCAGCCGCCGCGGUAACCCCAGCGCCACAAGUGGCAUUCGCGUUUAUUGGGUCUAAAGCGUCCGUAGCAGGUUCUGUAAAUUCCUUGUGAAAUUGCCAGGCUCAACUUGGCAGAGUGCAGGGAACACUGUAGAACUUGGGACCGGGAAGGGUCAGAGGUAUUCCUGAGGGAGCGGUAAAAUGCUAUAAUCUCAGGAGGACCACCGGUGGCGAAGGCGUCUGACUAGAACGGAUCCGACUGUGAGGGACGAAAGCCAGGGGAUCAAAACGGAUUAGAUACCCGAGUAGUCCUGGCCGUAAACGCUGUGAGCAAGGUGUCGCGUAUUCCACGUGAAUGCGCGGUGUCGAAAAGAAGUUACUAAGCUCACCACCUGGGAAGUACGGUCGCAAGACUGAAACUUUAAGGAAUUGGCGGGGGCGCACCACAAGGGGUGCGGCGUGCGGUUUAAUCUAACUCAACGCAGAACACCUUACUAGGGGCGACGGCAGGUUGAAGGUCAUGCUGAAGACAUUACCUGACGAGCCGAGAGGUGGUGCAUGGCCGUCGCCAGCUCGUGCUAUGAAGUGUCCAGUUAAGUCUGGCAACGAGCGAGACCUGUACCCUCUAUUGCUAACGGAACUUCGGUUGACUGAGCACAUUGAGGGGACUGCCUUGGUAACAAGGAGGAAGGUGCAGGCUACGGUAGGUCUGUAUGCCCCGAAUCCCCUAGGCUACACGCGCGCAACAAUGGUAAGGACAAUGGGAUGCGACACCGAAAGGUGAAGCUAAACCUCUAAACCUUAUCUUAGUACAGAUUGAGGGUUGCAACCCACCCUCAUGACGUCGGAAUCCCUAGUAAUCAGGUUUCAUCAUAGCCUGGUGAAUAUGUCCCUG